CCUACGGGAGGCUGCAGUCGAGAAUCAUUCACAAUGGGGGAAACCCUGAUGGUGCGACGCCGCGUGGGGGAAUGAAGGUCUUCGGAUUGUAAACCCCUGUCAUGUGGGAGCAAAUUAAAAAGAUAGUACCACAAGAGGAAGAGACGGCUAACUCUGUGCCAGCAGCCGCGGUAAUCCAGAGGUCUCAAGCGUUGUUCGGAAUCACUGGGCGUAAAGCGUGCGUAGGCUGUUUCGUAAGUCGUGUGUGAAAGGCGCGGGCUCAACCCGCGGACGGCACAUGAUACUGCGAGACUAGAGUAAUGGAGGGGGAACCGGAAUUCUCGGUGUAGCAGUGAAAUGCGUAGAUAUCGAGAGGAACACUCGUGGCGAAGGCGGGUUCCUGGACAUUAACUGACGCUGAGGCACGAAGGCCAGGGGAGCGAAAGGGAUUAGAUACCCGAGUAGUC
rnacentral:rRNA from 1 species